CAGAGUCAGUUUGAGGAACUAUGGCUCGUGGUCAACAAAAGAUUCAGUCUCAGCAGAAGAAUGCCAAGAAGCUUCAGGAUGCCAAGAAGGGCGGCCAUGAUCAGAAGAAGGCUGCUUUGAAGGCAUUGGUGCACACAUGCACCGUGUGUAAGUCCCAGAUGCCUGACCCUAAGACUUACAAGCAACAUUUUGAGAGCAAACAUCCCAAGUCUCCUCUGCCAGAUGUACUAAAGGAUGAAUGACCUAAGAGUCACCACAAGUGGUAUCAAUGGAUGUGGAGAAAUGACAUUUUGUCAGAUUUAAUUUUCUUUGUAGACUUUUACAAGAGAUUCAACACAAGCCAUUUUUUCAACAGUUGUCAACAUUUUCAACAGGUCCAUAACAAUUUUCUGUAUCAUGCACUCUUGAGACAAUUAUGGGGACUUAAUUUAUGUGUACAAAUAAAUCAUUCUUGUGACCA